GGACAGGGCCAUCCCAGGGCAGUCCACGAACACUUGGAUAUCUGGAGGGGUUACACAGACACAGGACACCCGUGGGCACAUGGGGCUAGGACACUGGGGGUACACAGGGACAGGGGCACCCACCGGGGGGGCACAGGACAUCCCUGGACACACGGACACAGGAUCCCGAGGGUACACAGGGACAGGAACCCCCCCGGGGACCACACGGACACAGCACCACGGGGGAAGACAGACACCCCGGGGGGACACACGGACAUAGGACACGUGAGGACACACGGAGACAGGACACGGGGGGACACACGGACACAGACACCCCCGGGGGACACACGGACACAGGACACGGGGGGACACACGGACACCCCCGGGGGACACACGGACACAGGACACGGGGGGACACACGGACACCCCCGGGGGACACACGGACACAGGACACGGGGGGACACACGGACACCCCCGGGGGACACACGGACACAGGACCCCGCGGGUCCCCGCUGUGCCGGCGCCGCCAGGGGGCGCCGUUGCUCUGAGCGGCGGCGCGCGGCCCCCGCCUGUCCCCCCCCCCCCCCCCCCCUCGGCCGCGGCCGCCCCGGCCCCGCACCGCGACCCGCCCCGCCCGUCCCCGCCCGUCCCCGCCCGUCCCCGCGGCCGGGGGCGGACACGGCGGGGGAACGGCGCCCUCCGGUACCCUCAGGGCCCCCACGGAGCGGGGAGGGCCGGAGGGAAGGGGGGGCUGCGAGAAGGAGGGGGCGGGGCGGAGCGAGGCUCCACCAAUCAGCGCGCGGCGGUUUCAAGAAGCCCCUUCCGCGCCCCGCCCCGCCCGCGCGGCGCCGCGCGGCCCCCGGGGGGGACACGGGCCGAGGGGGGAGGGACACGGGCCGGGAGAGGGACCGGGGUCCGGCCCCGCUGCCCACCCUGCUGCCCGCCUUCCUGCUGGCGUGGGGGAGGGGAGGAGCGGGAAGGCAUCGCACCCACGCGUGCCCGCGCCCGUGGCCGCGGGGGUUCGGGUGCUGCCAGCGCAGGGCUUCGCCUCCGCGUCCCGGGCUGCCGGGCCAGGGUGGCACUCGCCCCCUGGUUAUGGUGGGGACGCCCCCCAGGCCUUUAUUAAUAAUGCAGUAUUAUUAA
rnacentral:lncRNA from 1 species